UACAGAUGGGGCAAGCGUUAUUCGGAAUUAUUGGGCGUAAAGGGCGCGUAGGCGGUUUCUUAAGUCAGAUGUGUAAUCCCCGAGCUUAACUUGGGAACUGCAUCUGAGACUGGGAGGCUAGAGUACUGGAGAGGGUGGUGGAAUUCCUCGUGUAGCGGUGAAAUGCGUAGAGAUGAGGAGGAACACCAGUGGCGAAGGCGGCCACCUGGACAGUAACUGACGCUGAGGCGCGAAAGUGUGGGUAGCAAACAGG
rnacentral:rRNA from 1 species